AUGACUCCUAAGACCGAGUUGGAGAUGAUGAAGACAAGUACGAUGCGUUGCAAACUCUUCUUUGAUCAUUGCGGAUUUAAUCGAACAGAAAACCAAAAGACUAACCAGGUCAUUGUUACUAUACUUCCAAACAUACGCAGUAAAACACAUCUUCUUCAAAAAUCUCAAACAUCAGCAAAAUUGUUUUUCAAAUCCAACAAAUUCGUCCUUCAACAACGCCUCCACGAGCUUUCUUCUCAGAAUCAGGUUCAAGAGAAAGCUCUACCAACAUCUUCCAUCUUCCAUUGA